rnacentral:tRNA from 3 species
GCCGCUGUAGCUCAGGGGUAGAGCAGAGCUUUCGUAAAGCUAAGGUCGGGUGUUCAAAUCACCCCAGCGGCACCA